rnacentral:tRNA from 3 species
UGCUCAGUUGGAUACAAGCCGCGCCCAGCAAGGCGCGACGACCCACGAGCAACGGCCUUCUAAGUCGUAGGUCACACGUUCGAAUCGUGUAGGGCGGGCCA